UACGGGGGGGGUAAGCGUUGUUCGGAAUUACUGGGCGUAAAGGGCUCGUAGGCGGCCAACUAAGUCGGACGUGAAAUCCCUCAGCUUAACUGGGGAACUGCGUCCGAUACUGGAUGGCUUGGAUUUGGGAGAGGGAUGCGGAAUUCCAGGUGUAGCGGUGAAAUGCGUAGAUAUCAGGAGGAACACCGGUGGCGAAGGCGGUUCUCUGGGCAUGUCCUGACGCUGAGGAGCGAAAGUGUGGGGAGCGAACAGG
rnacentral:rRNA from 1 species